AAUCCGUUCAUCAAUCCGAAGACGUGAUGCGGACCGAAUUAAGAGUAGGGAAGUGUGUGAGCCAUGCGUCAAGAAAAGCCGCUAUUGUUUUACUUAAGCCCGUACCGUAAACCGACACAGGUGGAUGAGGAGAGAAUCCUAAGGCCGACGGGAGAAGCAUUGUUAAGGAACUCGGCAAAAUGACUCCGUAACUUCGGGAGAAGGAGUGCCAGCGAGAGCUGGCCGCAGAGAAUUGGCCCAAGCAACUGUUUAGCAAAAACACAGGUCUAUGCAAAACCGUAAGGUGAAGUAUAUGGGCUGACGCCUGCCCGGUGCUGGAAGGUUAAGAGGAGAGGUUAGCGGCAACGCGAAGCUUUGAAUUUAAGCCCCAGUAAACGGCGGCCGUAACAAUAACGGUCCUAAGGUAGCGAAAUUCCUUGUCGGGUAAGUUCCGACCCGCACGAAAGGCGUAAUGAUUUGGGCACUGUCUCAACAAUGCACCCGGUGAAAUUGAAAUACCAGUGAAGAUGCUGGUUACCUGCGCCAGGACGGAAAGACCCCAUGGAGCUUUACUCCAGCUUGAUACUGGGAUUCGGUAUUGCAUGUACAGGAUAGGUGGGAGGCUAGGAAGUGAUAACGCCAGUUGUCACGGAGCCGCUGUUGGGAUACCACCCUUGCAGUAUUGGAUUUCUAACCAGCGACCAUGAACUGGUCGGGGGACAAUGUCAGGUGGGGAGUUUGACUGGGGCGGUCGCCUCCGAAAGGGUAUCGGAGGCGCUCAAAGGUUCCCUCAGAAUGGACGGAAACCAUUCGAAGAGUGCAAAGGCAGAAGGGAGCUUGACUGCGACACCGACGGGUGGAGCAGGUACGAAAGUAGGACUUAGUGAUCCGGUGGUAUAAAGUGGGAUUGCCAUCGCUCAACGGAUAAAAGCUACCCUGGGAUAACAGGCUUAUCACUCCCAAGAGUUCACAUCGACGGAGUGGUUUGGCACCUCGAUGUCGGCUCAUCGCAUCCUGGGGCUGAAGUAGGUCCCAAGGGUUGGGCUGUUCGCCCAUUAAAGCGGUACGCGAGCUGGGUUCAGAACGUCGUGAGACAGUUCGGUCCCUAUCCGGCGUGGGCGUAGGAUAUUUGAGAGGAGCUGUCCUUAGUACGAGAGGACCGGGAUGGACUGGCCGCUGGUGUAUCUGUUGCAUACCAAGUGCAUGGCAGAGUAGCCAAGCCGGGACGGGAUAAACGCUGAAGGCAUCUAAGCGUGAAGCCCCCCUCAAGAUGAGAUAUCCCUACGUAAGUAGUAAGACCCCUUGAAGACGACGAGGUAGAUAGGUCAGAGGUGGAAGUACAGUAAUGUAUGGAGCUGACUGAUACUAAUCGGUCGAGGGCAUGACCA
rnacentral:rRNA from 1 species